CGGCAAAAGCUCAAAUUUGAAAUCUGGUCCCCUUUGGGGGCCCGAGUUGUAAUUUGAAGAGGAUGAUUUUGGCGAGGCGCCUUCCGAGUGCCCUGGAACGGGACGCCACAGAGGGUGAGAGCCCCGUAUGGUCGGACGCCGAGCCUAUGUAAAUCUCCUUCUACGAGUCGAGUAGUUUGGGAAUGCUGCUCAAAAUGGGAGGUAAACCCCUUCUAAAGCUAAAUACCGGCCAGAGACCGAUAGCGCACAAGUAGAGUGAUCGAAAGAUGAAAAGCACUUUGAAAAGAGAGUUAAACAGCACGUGAAAUUGUUGAAAGGGAAGCGCUUGCGACCAGACUUGCGCCCGUCGGAUCAACCGUCCCUCGUGGGCGGCGCACUCCGGCGGGCUCAGGCCAGCAUCAGUUUUCCGGGGGGGAGAAAGGCGGUUGGAACGUAGCUCUUCGGAGUGUUAUAGACUUCCGCGUAAUACCCCCUGGGGGACUGAGGACCGCG
rnacentral:rRNA from 1 species